CCAAUAGCGUAUAUUAAAGUUGUUGCAGUUAAAAAGCUCGUAGUUGAAUUUCGGGAUCAGUAGGUCGGUCGUGCCACUGGUAUGAACUGGUCUCACUGGUUCCUCCCUCUUGACGAACUGCAAUGCUAUUAAUUUAGUGUUGUAGGAAAUCAGGACUGUUACUUUGAAAAAAUUAGAGUGUUUAAAGCAGGCUUUGGCUUGAAUACAUUAGCAUGGAUUAAUGAAAUAGGACGUUCGAUCCUAUUUUGUUGGCUUCUAGGAUUGACGUAAUGAUUAAUAGGGACAGUUGGGGGCAUUAGUAUUCAAUUGUCAGAGGUGAAAUUCUUGGAUUUAUUGAAGACUAACUACUGCGAAAGCAUUUGCCAAGGAUGUUUUCAUUAAUCAAGAACGAAAGUUAGGGGAUCGAAGACGAUCAGAUACCGUCGUAGUCUUAACCAUAAACUAUGCCGACUAGGGAUCGGAUGAUGUUAAUUUUUUAAUGACUCAUUCGGCGCCUUACG
rnacentral:misc_RNA from 1 species